rnacentral:lncRNA from 1 species
GGCCGCAGACCCGGUGGUGCCGCUGUUGGCCACCAGCACGGAGGAGGGCCGCAAAGUGCAGCGCAGUGGGGGGGCCGCAUUCCCGGCUGUGUUCCGCCGCGUGGCCGAUGCGGCGCUGCGCGACGAUGGCUGAGGGGGGGCGUGGGGUCCUCACGGCUCCGUGGGGACAGCGCUGACACCGUGGGACCCUCCUGGACAGCGGGGGUCCUCCCGUCACCGUGAGGUCCUCCCACCGCCAUGGGGACACCGUGGGGACCCUUCUGUCACUGUGAGGUCCUCCUGGCACUGUAGGGACAGCACUGACACCGUGGGACCCUCCUGGACAGCAGGGGUCCUCCCAUCACCAUGAGGUCCUCCUGCCGCCAUGGGGACACCGUGGGGACCCUUCUGUCAC